GGAAACCCUGAUGCAGCAACGCCGCGUGAGGUAUGAAGGCCUUGGGUGUGUAAGCCUCUGUCCUAGGGGAAGAAAAAAAUGACGGUACCCGAGGAGGAAGCCCCGGCUAACUACGUGCCAGCAGCCGCGGUAAUACGUAGGGGGCAAGCGUUAUCCGGAAUUAUUGGGCGUAAAGAGUGCGUAGGUGGUCUACUAAGCGCGAGGUGAAAGGCAAUGGCUCAACCAUUGUUAGCCUUGCGAACUGGCAGACUUGAGUGCAAGAGAGGAAAGCGGAAUUCCUAGUGUAGCGGUGAAAUGCGCAGAUAUUAGGAGGAACACCGGCGGCGAAGGCGGCUUUCUGGAUUGUAACUGACACUGAGGCACGAAAGCGUGGGUAGCAAACAGGAUUAGAUACCCUGGUAGUCCACGCCGUAAACGAUGAGCACUAGGUGUCGGGACAUGAGUCUCGGUGCCGCAGUUAACGCAAUAAGUGCUCCGCCUGGGGAGUACGCACGCCAGUGUAAAACUCAAAGGAAUUGACGGGGACCGCACAAGCAGC
rnacentral:rRNA from 1 species